AAAUUGCUCGAGACUGACCGGUUAAUCGGUCAUAAAACGAAUGAAAGAGUUGGUAUGACUAAGAAGAUGAUCACGUGAGUUUAAGGGGCCUUAAUUUGAUUUAUUUUCAAGACAUUACAAUUACAAAGAUAUUUUUCUGUGUUGUCAUAGGUUGAUGGAUGUAAUUGAAGAUUUGGUGGACGCAAAGAUGUGGCAGAGAGUUUUGAAGUUAAAAAGACCAGAUAACUACCAAGAUAAAGUGAUAGUAAAAGCUCAUAAAAUGGCCGAAAAAAUGGAUAUGGCAAAUAUGGUAACUGAAAUUGGACUUGGACGGCUUCAGGUAAAAAAUGCAGAAGAAUUUUAUAAUGUUUCCCUAAAUGAAGUCUGCGAGGUUGGUUGCAAAACAUUGCAUUGUAAAUUAUGUAAGAUCUGUUUUCAUCGCUACACAUGUGAGUCCACAAUAUUGCAUUAAAACAACAAUAUGCAAACACAUACAUUUAAUAUGUUUAUACGAGCGAAGGAAGGGAAGCGAUUCUCUUUUAGGUGAUGUCGCUGGACUCCUUGGGGAAUGUUCUUCCAAUAAUAUUGAAGCUAGCCAUAGUGUAAAAAUUAAAACGUUUGUUAAUGAGAAGACGACUGAAAAUCAACAAGUAGCAGUACAACCAUUGAACAAGCAAUCAACAAGAGAAAUUGAAAUUGAGAGCAUAUCAAACUUUUUAAGAUCUUUAAAUGAUGAAGCUUAUGAUAAGUGCAUGAGACAACUGACAUCAAUGAUGGAACAGGUAAAUAAGACAAAUUAAUUCAUUUGAAUAAACGAAAAAUGGACAAACAAGCUUAUUUUCCAUCAAAGAAGAAGAUGGAGCAGUAAAUACAAAUAAUAAAUUGUAUAUUUUUUUCUAUUUAUCAGUAUUUUUUUAUAUAAUAGUAGGUAUAUUUUUAUAGGUUUAAGUAUAUGUGUAUUAUAAUUUUUUAUUUAAGUUUUAGGCAAAUAUUUGAAAAAACAUUACCUAUCUUAUAAGUUUUUUGCAGUUUCUUCUUAUGAGUAUUAAUCGAAACUGCGGAUUGCAAAUUAAUAUUUUAGCAAAAAAUAAUUAAGUUUUUUGUCAAAUCAGUCAUAUACAUGU